AUACAGCUUGACGUUUUGCAAAUCCUUCUUUUAUUCACGGCCUUGCACCGGAGUACUCACGUUUCUGAAUCCGAAGUUAUCGAUUGAAUCCCAAGAGCUGUACUCGUUUUACUAAUAAAAUCUUUUCGGCUUUUAGCCUAGAAAUAUGAGAGCAAAGUGGCGUAAGAAGCGUAUGCGAAGGCUAAAGCGUAAACGUAGGAAGAUGCGUGCGAGGUCUAAAUAAUAUGGGUACAUGAGCGGGGGUGAGGAGAUUGCUUCUAUGUUUAUGUAUCUAAUAAAAAUAUAAAAAAUC